rnacentral:lncRNA from 1 species
AUAGAAUCAAAUUACACCCAUGUGUUAUCCAUGUUUUCAACUUCAAAAAUAGUAUAUCAUGACAGGUGUAUACCUUUUGGCAUUUAUGACACGUUAUUCAUUUAUCCCUUCAUGUACUCCACCUCAUUCAUCCACGUCUUCAAGUACUUGUGUUAUAAAAUGCUUGGAGCAUAG